UCCCUGAUGGUCCAGUGGUUAAGACGCGUGUUUCCAAUGCAGGGGAUGUGGGUUUGAUCCCUGGUCAGGGAA
rnacentral:tRNA from 1 species